GUGGCGACGGGUGAGUAACACGUGGGCAAUCUGCCCUUCACUCUGGGACAAGCCCUGGAAACGGGGUCUAAUACCGGAUAACACUCUGUCCCGCAUGGGACGGGGUUAAAAGCUCCGGCGGUGAAGGAUGAGCCCGCGGCCUAUCAGCUUGUUGGUGGGGUAAUGGCCUACCAAGGCGACGACGGGUAGCCGGCCUGAGAGGGCGACCGGCCACACUGGGACUGAGACACGGCCCAGACUCCUACGGGAGGCAGCAGUGGGGAAUAUUGCACAAUGGGCGAAAGCCUGAUGCAGCGACGCCGCGUGAGGGAUGACGGCCUUCGGGUUGUAAACCUCUUUCAGCAGGGAAGAAGCGAAAGUGACGGUACCUGCAGAAGAAGCGCCGGCUAACUACGUGCCAGCAGCCGCGGUAAUACGUAGGGCGCAAGCGUUGUCCGGAAUUAUUGGGCGUAAAGAGCUCGUAGGCGGCUUGUCACGUCGGAUGUGAAAGCCCGGGGCUUAACCCCGGGUCUGCAUUCGAUACGGGCUAGCUAGAGUGUGGUAGGGGAGAUCGGAAUUCCUGGUGUAGCGGUGAAAUGCGCAGAUAUCAGGAGGAACACCGGUGGCGAAGGCGGAUCUCUGGGCCAUUACUGACGCUGAGGAGCGAAAGCGUGGGGAGCGAACAGGAUUAGAUACCCUGGUAGUCCACGCCGUAAACGUUGGGAACUAGGUGUUGGCGACAUUCCACGUCGUCGGUGCCGCAGCUAACGCAUUAAGUUCCCCGCCUGGGGAGUACGGCCGCAAGGCUAAACUCAAGGAAUUGACAGGGGCCCGCACAAGCAGCGAGCAUGUGGCUUAAUUCGACGCAACGCG
rnacentral:rRNA from 1 species